rnacentral:rRNA from 1 species
AGAGUUUGAUCCUGGCUCAGAGCGAACGCUGGCGGCAGGCUUAACACAUGCAAGUCGAGCGGGCGUAGCAAUACGUCAGCGGCAGACGGGUGAGUAACGCGUGGGAACGUACCUUUUGGUUCGGAACAACACAGGGAAACUUGUGCUAAUACCGGAUAAGCCCUUACGGGGAAAGAUUUAUCGCCGAAAGAUCGGCCCGCGUCUGAUUAGCUAGUUGGUGUGGUAACGGCGCACCAAGGCGACGAUCAGUAGCUGGUCUGAGAGGAUGAUCAGCCACAUUGGGACUGAGACACGGCCCAAACUCCUACGGGAGGCAGCAGUGGGGAAUAUUGGACAAUGGGCGCAAGCCUGAUCCAGCCAUGCCGCGUGAGUGAUGAAGGCCCUAGGGUUGUAAAGCUCUUUUGUGCGGGAAGAUAAUGACGGUACCGCAGGAAUAAGCCCCGGCUAACUUCGUGCCAGCAGCCGCGGUAAUACGAAGGGGGCUAGCGUUGCUCGGAAUCACUGGGCGUAAAGGGUGCGUAGGCGGGUCUUUAAGUCAGGGGUGAAAUCCUGGAGCUCAACUCCAGAACUGCCUUUGAUACUGAGGAUCUUGAGUUCGGGAGAGGUGAGUGGAACUGCGAGUGUAGAGGUGAAAUUCGUAGAUAUUCGCAAGAACACCAGUGGCGAAGGCGGCUCACUGGCCCGAUACUGACGCUGAGGCACGAAGCGUGGGGAGCAAACAGGAUUAGAUACCCUGGUAGUCC